rnacentral:snoRNA from 1 species
UUUCAUGUAGACCUACAUCACGGGAAACACUUCAAAGAGUUACCGUGGUUUCCUCUACUCACAGAACUACAUGUUGGGUCUGUAGGAAAGAACUACAAGACAGAG